rnacentral:rRNA from 1 species
UACGUAGGGUGCAAGCGUUGUCCGGAAUUAUUGGGCGUAAAGAGCUCGUAGGCGGUCUGUCGCGUCUGCUGUGAAAACCUCAGGGCUUAACCCUGAGCUUGCAGUGGGUACGGGCAGACUAGAGUGCGGUAGGGGAGACUGGAAUUCCUGGUGUAGCGGUGAAAAUGCGCAGAUAUCAGGAGGAACACCGGUGGCGAAGGCGGGUCUCUGGGCCGUAACUGACGCUGGAGGAGCGAAAGCAUGGGGAGCGAACAGG